AACGGGUGAGUAACGCGUAAGUAUCUACCCUUGGGUGGAGGAUACCUCUGAGAAAUUGGAGUUAAUCCUGCAUAAGCUUUUAGAAGGAAAGACGGCCUCUUGCUGUCGCCGAAGGAUGAACUUGCGUCUUAUUAGUUUGUUGGUGGGGUAAUGGCCUACCAAGACGAUGAUGAGUAGCCGGCCUGAGAGGGUGUACGGCCACACUGGGACUGAGAUACGGCCCAGACUCC
rnacentral:rRNA from 1 species